rnacentral:rRNA from 1 species
AUUGAACGCUGGCGGCAUGCUUUACACAUGCAAGUCGAACGGUAACAGGGAGCUUGCUCCGCUGACGAGUGGCGAACGGGUGAGUAAUAUAUCGGAACGUACCCAAGAGUGGGGGAUAACGUAGCGAAAGUUACGCUAAUACCGCAUACGAUCUAAGGAUGAAAGCAGGGGAUCUUCGGACCUUGUGCUCCUGGAGCGGCCGAUAUCUGAUUAGCUAGUUGGUGAGGUAAAGGCUCACCAAGGCGACGAUCAGUAGCUGGUCUGAGAGGACGACCAGCCACACUGGAACUGAGACACGGUCCAGACUCCUACGGGAGGCAGCAGUGGGGAAUUUUGGACAAUGGGUGCAAGCCUGAUCCAGCAAUGCCGCGUGAGUGAAGAAGGCCUUCGGGUUGUAAAGCUCUUUUGUCAGGGAAGAAACGGGAGUGGCUAAUAUCCAUUCCUAUGACGGUACCUGGAGAAUAGGCACCGGCUAACUACGUGCCAGCCGCCGCUGUAACAC